ACCUUCAUGUCAACUUUGGGAAAAUUCUCUACAAUCUCCGGAGCAUUAUAUAGCGGGACUCCAACGUCAGGACUGUUGGGAACAGCUCCAUCGUCUUUGCAAAAUGCAGUUGAGAAAAAAGAUAUUACAAAUUACAAAUAAAUUAAUUUUACAUAUAUCAACAUAAACUACCGAUUCUAAAAGUUGCCAUAGUUCUAAAGCUUGAUUCAAACAACAACCAUUCUAAUGAAAAUNNNNNNNNNNNNNNNNNUUCUUUCAUUUAAUUGUAAUUUUACAUAUAUCAACAUUUAAUUAAUUUAUUAUUCCAACAACACAGUUAAUGUUUUUACCCUGCCCAUUUACACAUGCAGGAAGAACAUUCUGAGACCCAUACCUGGGAUCAGACAGUAACCAAAGCAAUGGUUAGCUUGCAGAAAAAUCAAGUAUUGGUAAAACCCUAUUCAACCUUUCUUAUUAAUUAUUAUGGGGUCAACUUAGUAUAGUGAACUAUAGUAAUUCGAUAGUAACGAAAUGCGAUAUUAUAACACAAAUCUAUUACAAUAUUCUAAUAUGUUUUUCAUUCAUCAUGCUUACAUAACUUUUAUUCCUUAUAUGAGAAUAUAACAAUAUUUCUUCGAUUUAUGAUCAGUUCCUAAUUUGUACAUUAUAACAGCAUUUACCAAAUGAGCUUUCAAGCACAGUUAUGUAGCUAGUUACUUCCGCAAAACAAAUUAUUAUUAUUUCUUUGGAAAAUAUAAAAAGAAAAAAAGAUUUAGACUCCCUGAGACCAAAGUCUCCAAUCUUUAUGUCACCAUUACCGUCCAGGAAGAUGUUGUUGGGAUUUAAGUCCCUAUGUAUGAU
rnacentral:lncRNA from 1 species